rnacentral:rRNA from 1 species
UACGUAGGGUGCGAGCGUUAAUCGGAAUUACUGGGCGUAAAGCGUACGUAGGCGGCUCUUUAAGUCGGGGGUGAAAUCCUGGAGCUCAACUCCAGAACUGCCUUCGAUACUGAAGAGCUCGAGUCCGGGAGAGGUGAGUGGAACUGCGAGUGUAGAGGUGAAAUUCGUAGAUAUUCGGAGGAACACCAGUGGCGAAGGCGGCUCACUGGCCCGGUACUGACGCUGAGGUGCGAAAGCGUGGGGAGCAAACAGG